CUUGUGGGCCCUCUGUGGAUCUACAGACCUCGUACUAGCUGACGGAACCCUCAAGAUGGCGACCGUAUGCAACCCAGCGGUGACUACGAGGCAUGCGCGCCUCAGACACCUGUAAGAACUUCAUGGAAACAUCCGACCAUCUAUGUGCCGAAUUGUGGACAAAAUUGGAGUCCAGACCAAAUUUAAGGAGCCCUCUCAAAGCCUGAGCAAGCAGUGGAACCAUGUGGUCGGUUGGAGCAUCUGAGGUCCCG